GGAAAACACUGUUGUUGAUUGUAACUUUCAUGGUGCUUACUUAAAGGUUCCUUGUAGAAAAGAAUGGCUGAAUUUUCAGAUGAAUCUCAAAAAAAUAUUGCACCGAGAAUAGCUGUGCAAAUUAGCCCGACGUAUUAUGUUGUUAUGGGUAAUAAGAAUUCGGAAAUGCUGACUGAUGCAAUUACUGAAGCUUGUCGAAGUGGAUAUCAUGUUCUCAGUGA